UUACUUCUGGAGAGACUGUUUGG
rnacentral:piRNA from 1 species